UACGUAGGCAGCAAGCGUUGUUCGGAAUUACUGGGCGUAAAGAGUGUGUAGGCGGUGCUCUAAGUCUGUUGUGAAAUCUCCCGGCUUAACCGGGAGGGUGCGGCGGAAACUGGAGUGCUUGAGGGUGGGAGAGGUAAGCGGAAUUCCUGGUGUAGCGGUGAAAUGCGUAGAUAUUAGGAGGAACACCUGUGGUGUAGACAGCUUACUGGACCACUUCUGACGCUGAGACACGAAAGCGUGGGUAGCAAACAGG
rnacentral:rRNA from 1 species